GUAGGUGGGCAAGCGUUGUCCGGAAUUAUUGGGCGUAAAGCGCGCGCAGGGCGGUCCUUUAAGUCUGAUGUGAAAGCCCACGGCUCAACCGUGGAGGGUCAUUGGAAACUGGGGGACUUGAGUACAGAAGAGGAAAGCGGAAUUCCAAGUGUAGCGGUGAAAUGCGUAGAGAUUUGGAGGAACACCAGUGGCGAAGGCGGCUCUCUGGUCUGUAACUGACGCUGAGGCGCGAAAGCGUGGGGAGCAAACAGGAUUAGAUACCCUGGUAGUCCACGCCGUAAACGAUGAGUGCUAAGUGUUAGGGGGUUUCCGCCCCUUAGUGCUGCAGCUAACGCAUUAAGCACUCCGCCUGGGGAGUACGGCCGCAAGGCUG
rnacentral:rRNA from 1 species